GGCCCCUUGGAGAACUCCCCGGGAACUGGGGCCAAUUUUCGAUAGGUGAAGAACCCUGGAAUGGGUCUUCGCCCAAAAGGCGCUUGGAGCAUGCUUCUAGGCGUUGCCCAAGGAUGGGGCCGCGGCCGAUCAGGUUGUUGGUGAGGUAAUGGCUCACCAAGCCUUUAACCGGUACGGGCCGUGGGAGCGGUAGCCCGGAGAUGGGCACUGAGACAAGGGCCCAGGCCCUACGGGGCGCAGCAGUCGCGAAAACUUCGCAAUAGGCGAAAGCUUGACGAGGCCAUCCCGAGUGCCAUCUGCUGAGGAUGGCUUUUACCUAGUGUAGAUAGCUGGGGGAAUAAGGAGAGGGCAAGUCUGGUGUCAGCCGCCGCGGUAAUACCAGCUCUCCGAGCUGUGGGGAUGUUUAUUGGGCCUGAAGCAUCCGUAGCCGGCUGGGCAAGUCCUCUGUUAAACCCAGCGAUCAAUCGUUGGCUUGCGGGGGAUACUGUCCGGCUAGGGGGCGGGAGAGGCCGUCGGUAUUCUCGGGGUAGGGGUGAAAUCCUAUAAUCCCGGGAGGACCACCAGUGGCGAAGGCUGUCGGCUAGAACGCGCCCGACGGUGAGGGAUGAAAGCUGGGGGAGCGAACCGGAUUAGAUACCUGGGUAGUCCCAGCUGUAAACGAUGCAGGCUAGGUGUUAGGGCGGCUACGUGCCGCUCUAGUGCCGCAGGGAAGCUGUUAAGCCUGCCGCCUGGGGAGUACGGCCGCAAGGCUGAAACUUAAAGGAAUUGGCGGGGGAGCAC
rnacentral:rRNA from 1 species